UACGAAGGGGGCUAGCGUUGUUCGGAAUCACUGGGCGUAAAGCGCUUGUAGGCGGACUGUUAAGUCGGGGGUGAAAUCCUGAGGCUCAACCUCAGAAUUGCCUUCGAUACUGGCAGUCUUGAAGUCCGGGAGAGGUGAGUGGAACUCCUAGUGUAGAGGUGAAAUUCGUAGAUAUUAGGAAGAACACCAGUGGCGAAGGCGGCUCACUGGCCCGGUACUGACGCUGAUAAGCGAAAGCGUGGGGAGCAAACAGG
rnacentral:rRNA from 1 species